GCCUGGGGCUAGGGGAGCAGGGGAGGAGAUGGAAAAUGGGCUGGAGCUGGGUUCUGGUCUUGGACACCGGCAGGUUCUCCCUCCCCCUUGGCCCUCCCCCAGGUCUCUCGGGACAAAUGCUGGACCCAGAAGCCCAGUUCCCGGACCUGGGAGAGGAUGUCUCCUUCUCCAGGCCCCACCCCUCGCCGCCCUGUGGUCCUCAGUCUGGAUAGACCCUCAGCCUGGGACCUUCAGCCUGGGUGGACUCUCAGCCUGGAUGGACCCUCAGCCUGGAUGGACCCUCAGCCUGGGACCCUCAGCCUGGGUGGACCCUCAGCCUGGGUGGACCCUCAGCCUGGGUGGACUCUCAGCCUAUGAUCUUCUGGAGGGAGUUGGUCCACGUUGGCUCAUCCUGGCAGCAUCACAGGCAUUGCCAAACUCUCGGAACCGCCCGUGGGGCUGGGGCCUGCCUGGGGCGCUCUGCUCCUCCUCUGGUGGGUCCGACAAUGCUGGCCUUCCUCCUGGAGCUGGGGGAGGCCGGGCUUGUUCACGUUCCCAGAUGGCAGGGGCCAGUCAGGCCGCCUCCUGGGAGUUACGAGAGGUCAGGGAGGUCAGGGGAUGGGUUCGGCCCAGGGAGCUGGGGUACGGGAGCUCUCACCUGCUACAGGUGCAAAAGGUGUGGCUUUGUUGUUUCUUGGAGGCUGCGGCCAGUGGAUCAACCCUCCCCCAGGCCUGGCCUCGCCCUGGGAGCUGUCCCCCAGGAGCCCUCCUAUUCCAGAGUCAGGAAAGCCUGCCCCUUCCCCACCAGGGCCAGGCCCAGGAUCUAGGCUCUGGACCCCCUGGAAGAGUGCACUAG
rnacentral:lncRNA from 1 species